CUGGAUUAUAAAAAUAUUUUAUUUCUUGAAUUUGUUGUUGUUUCAACAAAUUUUCUGAUGAAUAAAUCUUCCCUGCUCCUUUUAUUAUUUCAGCAUAACUGGCUUGAUAUACUGAGUUUGGAUCUUGGGACUAAGGGAAUUGACUUACCGUUUUUGGUGUAAAAGAUAAAUGAGUUCCAACUGGUUGUCUUACCAUUGGAUAUGAAAUAUAAUAUCCCUGAUUAGGAUAAAAGGAUGCUUGUGCAGGUAUUGUCACAAAUCCUUGAUUAAGACUUGUUAUUUUCUCUUUGUUGGGUCUUUUAUGAACAGUAGUCCAUUCACCAAUUUUUUUAGAGAUUUUUUUACCUCUAUCCAUAUGGCCUGCAAAGAUAAUCAACAAUAAUAUUGUUAGUUCCUUUUACAUAUAAGACUUCAAAAUUAAAAGUAGAUAAUUCAUGUAACCACCUAAUUCUUCUAGAUACCAUUUCCAAACUUUUAUUAGUAAGGAAAUAUUUAAUUGCCAGAUUAUCAGUUUUUAUAAUAAAUUUUUCAAGUGUUAAAUACAUGAGAAGGUUUUUUAUUUUUUUCUUUAUUGCUAAUAAUUCUUUUUCAUAUAUAACAUAAUUAAUUUCAUUUGGUUUAAAUUUUCCCGAACUAUAUCCACAUAUUAAUUCUUCAUUUUUUAUUGAUUUAGCUUUUAAAAUACAACCCCAAUAAUUUUGUGAGGCAUUUGUUUCUAAAAUUAAUUUAUCACCUUGUUUAGAUAAAUAAACUUUUAGAUUAUGAUUUAUUUCAGAUUUUAAAUCUUUUAUGAUUUUUUAGUCUGUUUUGGACCAGAUAAAGGGUUUAUCAUUUUUUAGUUUUUCAUAUAACUUACCUAUUUUUUCAGAUAAGUUAGGUUAGGAAAGAAAUUUCUUCCAUAAUUAAUAAUUCCCAAAAAUUGUUGAAGCUACUUUUUAUCUUCAAUGUUUUCAGGAAAUUCUUUUAUUUUUAUUAUAAUAUGAUCUUGUAGUUUGAGACCAUCUGCAGAUAAUUUUAAUCCUAAGAGUUCUAUUUCUGUUUUUUCUAGUUCUAUUUUCUUAGGACUUAGUAUGAUUCCAAGUUUUAUGAAUUCUUGAGGGAUAAUAUUUAAAUGUUUUCUAUAUUUUUCUAAUGUAUCUAAAAAUAUUAAAAUAUAAUUUAUAUAGACUACACAAUUUUUUUUUAUAUUUAUUAAAUAUAGAAUCCAUUCAUUUUUGAAAGAUUUGUGGUGCAUUACAUAAUCCAAAUGAUAUUACUUUCCAUUGAUAAUGUCCUUUAGGUGCACUAAAAGCUGUCAAAGGCUAGGAUUCUUGUUUAGUAUAGAUCAUUGGUUUAACUCUAAUAAUUUUAUUGGGAUUUUCCAAUUUAAUUUCACAAUAUUUAGGGCUAUUUUGUCAUAAUUUUAAUGGUUCUUCAUUAAAAUCAUUUUCUAAUAUUUUAAACAACCAAUGACUUAUUUCAAGUUGUUUAAUUUGUUUUUUCCUUGGUGGUAUAAAAUUUUUAUCAUAUAUAAAUUUAUGAUUUUCUACUAAUAGUAUUUCUACAGAAGUUUUUUCUACAAAUAACAUAAUUAAAUUUUUAUCAAUAGAAAAUGGUAAAUGUUGGUAUAUAAAAUUAUUUCCUAAUAAUAUAUCUCCAUGCAUUGCAGGAAAGCAUAAUAUUUUAGGUAUCACAAAUCUUACAUUAUUUAUGUAAAUUAGUACAUUUCUAGCUUUAUAUUAGAUUAUGGCUUCAUUACCAUCUAUUCCUAUGGCUUUUAUUGGAUGUUUCAUAUGUUCCCAUUUUUCUAAAGGAAUGACAUUCUUUACUAGUUGUAGCUCCAAUAUCUAAUAAAACAUGCAAAGAAUAUGUUUUAUAAUCUUUAAAUUGAAAUGUAAUUUCAAUAUAUGUGUAAUAUUAUCAUUUUGUAAUUAAUAUCAAAGCGUCGGUGUAACGAUACUUGGAGAAAUAAUAUCGUAGUAUUCAUUGUAAGUUCUUAUCUUUUAUUUACAAUUCUGUUUAUUUCAUGCUUAUUUAUCUUAAAACCCAUAUAUCCUUUAUUCUGUUUUACUAUUGUCUGUUUAUGUUUGUGUGAGACUUUUGGCUUUUUAAGAGUAAAGAUAUAUAAAGAUAACAGAAGAUUUUAGGUACCCAAGAUAAAUUUCAUGGAAGAAACUGAUUGUCUAUACAAAGAUAAAAUUUUCAAUCACGCUAUGCAUAUUGAUUCUAAAAAUGAAAACAAUAUUUCAACUCUUAGUAAAGAUUUUAAUAGUUUAAUGAAUAUUACUUCUAUAUAUUUUCAUAAAUUAUAUAAUAAGCAAGUAAAAUAAAACAAGUAAAUAAUUUAGGUGAAGUUACAGAAUUAAAUUUGAACAACGAAUCUAAAGAAAUCUUAUUUGAUGUUAAUAAUAAAUUAGAACAAGUUCUUAUUAAUAAAAAUAUAGAACAAGAAAUAGAUUUAAGACAUUUAUAUUAUGGAAAUAGUAAUAUAAUAUUAAAUUUGUCUGAAAAAGAAGAUACUUCCUUAGAAGAAUCAUCUUCUACAAAUAAAAGAAAUAAAGAACCUAAAAAACAGAAAAGAAAAUAUACUCAUCAACAAAAAUAUAAUUUCCAAUCCUAUAAACAACUUAUAGAACAUUGGAAGAAUAAAUUUACUAAGACAUCUGAUAAAAAUGAAAGAAUAGAAUAUCUAAAACUAAUAGAACAAUUUUAUGAAAAAUAUAAAGAUUUGUUUACAUUAUUUAAUUAUCAUUAUAUGUUAAAUUAUGAUACUAUAGACAGUAGUAGUAGUUCUAAUAAUUCUAUAAAUUUAGAAGACAUAAAUGUUACUAGUUAUAAUUCUGAUAAAGAAAAUACUUCAAGAGAUGAGGAAGAAAAUAUAGAAAUACCAGAACUUAUGGAUACUAAUAAAACAGAUCCUUAUGGAAAAAGAAAAAUAGAGCCAAAUCUUCAAAAAGAUGAUUAUCUGAGAUCUUUUAAUAAAGAUUAUGAAAAAUUUGAAAAUACAAUUAGAAUUUUUUAUAAUCAAACCGAAAAUAUUGCUACAAAUGAAAUAAAAUCUAAAAAUUUAAGAGAAUAAUCUACUCAACCUGUACCGCAUAGAAUAGAUGAUUUAAAUAAAAGAAAUAUUGCUCAAGGAGGAAUAUAUUUAGAUCUAACUAAUAUUUCUAUAGCAGAUUAUGAAACAACUAUAGAUGAUUGGGCACAAUCUAUGACUAUUGUUGUUAAUAACAACAACAAUAUAUGGUUAAAAGAAAAAAAUUUAAACUAUUUUGUUGGAACAUUUCAAGGAUGUUCUACAAUUUCUAAGAAGAUAGGAAGAAUUUGAAAAAGGUAAAGAAUAAAAAGGGCAGUUAAUUAACCAGAUUAGAACUCCCAAAGAUCUUUUAAAAGGAUUAACUUUUAUUCUAAAAACAGAAUUUUGUGGCUAUAUUGAUAAAAAAGAUCAGGAUUGUCAGUCUAAUUAUAUAUUGUCAAAAAUUAAAUUAUGUGACAUUAGAUAUUUAGAAGAAUUUUCUAAAAAUUUCUUCAUGAAUAUCAAAAACUAAGAAAUGAAAAUAUAGAAUUUUAGAAAAGCCAAUAUUUUCAUAAAUUACCACCACCAUGGGAUGAGAUUUGUAUAAAAAAUACGGUUCUUAUUUAGAAAAACAUAGUAAAAUAGCUAGUGUAGAACCAGAGAAUAUAGAUUCUAUAGGAAAUAGAAUUAAUUUUGCAAAAGAAAGAAUAACUUUAUACUAUCUACAAAGUAAGGCUUCUAAACAAGUUAAGAAUAAAUUAAGUAAUAAACAUUGUACAAAAAUUUUAGAAAAUGAAUGGAAAUUUGGAUGUAAACCAGUACGUCCUAAUAUUUAUAAAAAACAUAAAAAGAAAAAUAGAAGAUAUAAGCUAGUUAGAUGGAAACUAGGAAAUAGAAAAAAUACUGGUUAUAAUAAAAAAAAUUGUUAGAAGAAAAACUUCUAAAAAACAAAUAUGUAAGUGUUUUAUAUGUGAUGAAAAAUGACAUAUAGCACCAAAUUGUCCUAAUAAAGGAAAAAGUGCAAGAAAAAUGAUUAAAACAAUUGAAGAACAAGUUAGAAAUAAGUUCAGAAGAGGAAAUAAAUUCUGAGGAAAUAUUAUACGAAUUAAUAUCAGAAACAGAUUCUGAUACAGAUGAAGAAGAAUAUAUAUUUAUGUUAAAAAGCAGUUCUAAUAAUCAAUUAGAAGAAAUUUCUAAAAAUGAACAACAAGAUAUAAAAUUAGGAAAUAUAAUUGGAGAAAAAGACUUUUUAAAUGAAAUGAUAAAAAAAAAUUAAAAAUCAUAUUUCUAAAGACAUAUAGAAAAAAUAAGUGGUAAUACAAUAGCUAAAUAUACUAGAGGAAGAUUAAUAGAAAUCUCAUUAUUUACUAAAUAUAAAAUUAAGAGGAUUAGAUAUAUACAUUUAGGAAUAAUAAUGAUAACAAUAAGAGCUUUGUUUAGAAAAGGCCAUGAUACACCAAUAAUAGUAAUUUUACUAGAUAAAAAAUUUGAAAAUCUAAUAAAACACUUAUUGGAGGAAUUCAAUCAAAUUUAGAUAUAGGAGUAAUAGGAUUUAUUACUUUAGGUUUUCUCUUGUGAAUGACGACUUCUAAUGGUUCUCCUAACGAAGACGACAAAGGUGGGGCUUGUCAAAAUAAGAAAGUAAAUUCGAAUGUGACGAUGGCAGUGGAACUAGAUCUUGAUCCACCGCUGUCAUGGAAGGAGAGGCUAAUAAGGAAAAGUUCUCAGGAAUAAGGAAGGAAGAAUGGAUCAAAUAUUGAUGAAGAUGAUGACUUUGCCUUUGUGGAGGGAGAUGUUAUGAGAUCUUUUGUUAUUGGCAUUCCUUCUAUUAAGUUUUCGGAGAGAAUUAACCAGUUGUUGAUCAAAGAUAUGUCCUUUACUAUGAUGAUCAAGCUUUUAGGAAGGAGCAUGGGGUAUGCUACACUCCAAAUCAAAAUUUAAGCUCUGUGGAAACCAAGUCAACCCUUUAGCUUGAUGGAUACUGCUAAUGUCUAUUUUUUGGCCAAAUUCCAAAAUACGAAAGCUUACGAACGGGUACUCUCUUAAGGACCUUGGAUCAUCUUCGGCCAAUAUCUGACUGUUCAGCCAUGGUCCAUUGACUUUGAUCCAACACAACCCUUUCCUAGUGUGGUCAUGUCCUGGAUUAGAUUUCCCAGGCUACCGGGUUAUAUGUACAAAAAGAAGAUCUUAUGGGAGAUUGGGGGCAUGGUUGGUAAGGUUGGCAAGCUAGACUUCAACACAGAUAGCAGAACAAGGGGAAGAUGUGCGCGUAUGGCGGUCUAUGUCAGUCUGGACAAACCUUUAGUCUCACAAAUUCUGAUAAACGAGUCCCUCCAAAGAAUAGAGUAUGAAUAUUUACCUACUGUUUGCUUUUCAUGCUGGGCAGAUUUUGAAGGGAAACCGUCCUGCAAGGGAGAUCAAACGGUUAUUUCAGCUCUGGUGGGGGAGGAAUCAAUGGACGCUAACGACGUCUAUGGUCCGUGGAUGCUUGUUGAGAGGAGUAGGUGUAAUUCAAAGGAUGCUAGAAAGAUCAGUGCCGGAAAUCUUGGAAAUUUGGCAGGUAAAUCAAGACUUAAUGUGUUGGAUUCCCUAAAUGAAAUUGAGAAUUUUCAAGGGAGACUCGUGAAGGGGAUUUGAACAAUAGCACUAGUCAAGAUGGGAAUUCUAUCUCACUGAAUCUUGUCGAUGCAAAUAGGGCUCCAAUUUCAUUGAUUGAAAAGUCUGGGCAGGCUAGUUCUAUAGGCCAUAGGAAAUCAGUGGGCCACAAAUUGAUUGUUGGGGCUAAUGAGCCCAAGGGAAAAGAGAAGAGUGGACAUGGUCUUGUUUCGGCUGGUGUGUUCCAAGUCCGGCGGGUCAAGGGAGCCUUCCUUGGCAAGCCAAUGGUCUAGGCUGUAUUAAUUUAGCUAAUAGACCCGAUUUCGCUAAAGGCCCUAUUGGGUUAAAGGGUUUUCAAGGUCCAGCAUUUUCAGACCAUACUAAGGACGUCUAGAUGCCUUUAAUUUUGGGGGAUUUUCCUAUUGCUCAAAAUAGGGAAACCGUGAAUAGGGAAAAUAUUGGUGAUCGAUCUAGGGUAAGUUGUUAUUGCGCCAUGAAUAAUUAUGCCUUAUUCUCUCACUUUAAUCCUAUUUAUGAAGGGAAUUCGGAGGUGCCAGUUUCUAUAGAGAAAAGUAUUUUAUAUUCAAACAAACAUUCUGUAGUUGUUUUCAAGGAGAAUGUGCAACCAAAUUCUUUGGGAGACAUGGGUGAGGGUCAAGCUACAGAGGUGGCUAGUGGCUUUGCGGAUAUUGGUGUGAGAAUUAUUGGUGGGAAAUUUAAUGGAGGACAGAGAGGCAAGAAGCCCAACCGGACCAUUCGUGAUAGAGGAAAUAUUUUUAAAAAUUCUAGUACUCAGGUUUCUUUUCACGAGUUGUUGAGAAUUUUGGCUGAGUCUCUGUAGGAUGCUCCAGAUGAUGGCUGUAAGGAGUCAGGGAAGUAACCUGUCUUUGAAUUUGCCUCUUGUUUGUAAGUUAGUUAUUUUUUUUUUGUGUGUUGAUUUAAUAUGUAAUGGAUUUGAAUAUUUCCCUUCUUUCAUGGAAUUGCCAAGCGUGUGCGAACACAAAGUUUUAAACAAUAUAUUUUUAGCUUGUUGGAGCCAAGGGUAAGUGGGAGGAAAGCUGAUGAAGUCAUUGACAAGCUGGAUUUUCAGUACUCUCAUCGAGUUGAAGCACUAGGAUUUUCAGGAGGCAUUUGGAUUGUUGGAAAAAUACUAUUAAUCUUCAGGUUAUACGUAAUCAUCCUUAAUUCAUUUUGGUCCGUAUUUACAGUAGUGUGUUUCUUCUCAGUAUGUCUUUAUAGCUUUUGUCUAUGGUAGUCCUAAUCGGAGGAAACGAAGAUUGCUUUGGGAGCAACUGAAAACUACUAUCCCUUCUGCUUCGAUCCCUUGGUUAAUUAUUGGUGAUUUUAAUGCUAUUUUGUCCUCUGAUGAGAAAAAAGGAGGGAGGUCUAAUAGGACAAGGUGCUCUUACUUUGGAGAUUUUAUCGAUUCUAAUGGGCUUCAUGACUUAGGUUUUAAUGGUCCUUCGUUUACUUGGCAAAGAGCGGGGACUUUUGAGCGUCUUGAUCGUGCUUUGGGGAAUGAAGCGUGGGUUCAAGCCUUUUCGAAUUGGAUGGUUACUCGCCUUACUAGGCUUAAAUCGGAUCACCAACCACUUAUUAUUAAUUUUAAUCCGGCUCUCCCCUUACCCAAGGGACGUUCUUUCAAAUUUCUGAUGGGUUGGGCACAACAUCCAUCCUACAAUUUUGUCAAUGAGAAUUGGAAGUAUACCGGUGACAUGUUUGAAUCCCUUUCUAAUUUAAUUGCUAGCCUCAAGGUCUGGUAUAAAUCUGUAUACAGUCAUAUUAGUGAUAGUAAAAAAAUGUUGUUUCUGUAAUGACCCAAAAU
rnacentral:lncRNA from 1 species